rnacentral:misc_RNA from 1 species
GGUGAAGAACGCAGCGAAAUGCGAUAAGUAGUGUGAAUUGCAGAAUUCAGUGAAUCAUCGAAUCUUUGAACGCACAUUGCGCCCCUUGGUAUUCCAUGGGGCAUGCCUGUUCGAGCGUCAUUUGUACCUUCAAGCUUUGCUUGGUGUUGGGUGUUUGUCCUGAGGGACUCGCCUUAAAGUAAUUGGCAGCCAGUGUUUGGUUUUGAAGCGCAGCACAAGUCGCGAUUCAAAGCUAUACGCCCGCUUCCACAAGCCUUUUUCACUUUUGACCUCGGAUCAGGUAGGGAUACCCGCUGAACUUAAGCAUAUCAAUAAGCGGAGGA